AACCUGAACUUCAACUCCCACAACUAAACACGAAAAAAAAUGAGUUGAGAAUUUGACCGUCAAUAAAACUCCUAAACUAGUCAAACUCCCGAGACAAUCUAUACGAGAUUGAUGGAUCCAGGACUUUUUGUAAUCCUCAUCUCUAUCUAGACUCAGCGCGGUGGCGUGGAAAGACGGAGCUGCGGCCACUGAGAGUGCAUGACCGCCGCGGCACUGCGACCUUUCAAAUCGCUUGAGGUGUGUAGGUUUGUCUGCAACUAGGUAGCUGGGCUUGGUUCAUGGUUGUGGCUCUCGAGCCACUCUACUACAGUGACUUCGGGAGACGUAGGCGGCGGCGGCUUCCGACGUCCUAACGGAGUUGGGGAGCGAGGCGCGACUGCCGCUCCAGUUGUGGUAACGUUCAUUAAUUAUAAAACCCUUUGAAGCAAUCUUAAACCAGACACAUAAGCAACAUAUCGGUGAACAGGUCAUGACCCCUAAGUUAUCAACCGAAAUAGAAGUCAACGGAACAUGGUCGAAGACAGUAGAAGAAUUAGAAUGUCUUCGGAACCUUUCCAGCCGGAAACGGGUUGAGUGUCUAACAAGGAUGUCAACAGUUACCGCCUCAAGACCGUAAUAUGAAGCACAACACCCGAUUUCCUGAGGAACGAACGUCUGGUGAUCAACGAGACGACCGUCUCAUGCGUCCACGUGAAGAACCUCAAGAGAGACGACGAAAUAUACCUUCCUUUCAAUUAUAUACCUUUUUCUAACCUCCUGAGCGACGAUACGACGAUCGUAUGAUAGACAAUAGUUUACCAACCCGAUGUUCUUGUUUAAGUGGUGAUAUAUCGAAACCUUCACUUGGUGACCUCUUCCGAUGUCUUUGAUGGCCCUACUUCCUUUACCAAGACGGUUAAUCACGACCUUAAAAUAGUCGAAACUCCUCUCAUAACCGAGCCGCUCAGAGAGAGUUCUUAGAUGAGUUUUCCGCUGAAGUACGCUAUUGACAACGAAGACGAUGUACAAAAGAAAAAGGUAAACGUUACACCCUAUGUUAAGAUCCAAGUUGUAGACUGUCGUAUCAAUUUUACGUUGAUGGUUCGACCCGUAUAAACUCAUGACAAAACAAGCCUUACCACGAAUAUAAGAUACAACUAUUACAACGACUCCUUUCGAACGUAGACCAGAAAAGAAGAGGUUCCGUGAAUCACCAAAGUUGUCCAACGUAGUAAUAAAACCUCUAUAAUAUGUUUUACCUAAAGAGGGAAGGACCAAACGACGAAACAAGACACUAAAACCCUAAACCAUAAAACCUUCGUUGGAGGAACCUGGCUAGGUUUUUUUCCGGUAACCUCCGUGUACUUGGCAGUUUACCUAGUGAAGUGUUAGUCAACGCCUAAAGUCUUGAAGGUUACAUCUUACUCCUAAAAAAA
rnacentral:rRNA from 1 species